GACCUUUUGCGAAACUUCUUGCGUGCCUACUCAUUCCACCGUAAUAUCUUCAGCUCCAGCUCGACCUCCCCAUGGUCGGCCCGCACCACCUCAAAGAGUGCAGUCGCUAGGAAUAAGGCCCUCUGGGAAGUAGUAGCGUUGGCCUCACCGCCACAGUGCUCUACCGGGGAACUGACAAGUUGGACCGUUUCUGAGUGCAAGGACUCGAAGCCAAAAGAGUACGCAAGACGCGAAUCGUGGCAUUAUUUGACUUCCACGUCAACGGCCAUGGUAGUGUCAGAUGAAUACAGUCAAUAGACAUAGCAGCUGUGUGCUUACCUUCAAUGUAGACCAGGAGUACAUGUUCUGGAACACGACCGGUGAACCUGAUGGCAUUAGACAACCAAGCACGUGUUCAUGGAACGAUAAUUGGUUAUGCGACAAAAAGGAACAACAGCAAAAUAAGCGAACCACGGCAUUAAGCAUACCACCAUGAAAUUGUCUACUAUGGCUGUCCCAUUCGAAACUGUUUCUACCACUUUCGGGACUGCUUUGAGUCUGUAUGAGAUCCUGUGUACGUACAGUGCAUGUCUUUGCUUCAGCAUAUUAUGGAAACUACUCGUCUGUUCCUCGCUUUGAAUGUUUCAAUAAAACAUUUUGAGCAAUA